GCUGUUGGAAGGAGAGAGCCUGGAAUGUCCGUAGUGGUCAAGAGAAAUGUGAAAUUUAAGACAUGUCAGCACAAAUCUAGACUGAGACUGACUCAUUCGGCAGGAAGAAUAUGUCUACAUGCCAGAGUACCCACCUGAUCUCAGCUCACUGCAACCUCUGCCUCCCGGGUUCAAGAGAUUCUCCUGCCUCAGCCUCCUGAAUAGCUGGGAUUACAGGUGCGUGCCACCUCGCCCAGCUAAUUUUUGUAUUUUUAGUAGAGUUGGGGUUUCACCAUGUUGGUCAGGAAGGUCUCAAACCCCUGACCUCGUGAACCGCCCUCCUCGGCCUCCCAAAGUGUUGGGAUUAUAGGCGUGAGCCUCAGCGCCCGGCCUUAUUUUUGGUUUUGUUUUUGUUUCCUUCAAGCGAACUCCCUCACCAAGUGUUGUCUGGACUGCUAUAGUCUUAUUCUCAUUCUGGACUGCCUCUGAAUUAUUCACCCCUUGAAACUCAUCCUAAGCAUGUUCUCUUACUCAAUAAGAGCCAGCUGUUUCUCUCUUCGUGCAGCCAGCAAACCUUGUGUUAACCCAUUCUAUAAUUCUGCCCUGAACGUAUUCUAAUUAAUAGUUUACAUACUUUUCUCCCCUACUUGACGGAGACUGUGAGCUUCUUGAGGAGUGGGGAUUGUGUCCUUAUUUUUGUAUCCCAAUGCCUAACAGUGUCGGGCAAACUAAGUGUUUGGUCAAUGAAUAAAAAAAUGAACAUAUAGGUGGAGGGUUGUGGCUCACGCCUGUAAUCCCAGCACUUUGGGAGGCCGAGGUAGGCGGAUCACGAGGUCAGGAGAUCGAGACCAUCUUGGCUAACACGGUGAAACCCCGUCUCUACUAAAAAUACAAAAAC
rnacentral:lncRNA from 1 species